rnacentral:tRNA from 1 species
GGAGGAGUACUCAAGUACGGCUCAAGAGGCGCCCCUGCUAAGGGUGUAGGUCGGGUUACCGGCGCGAGGGUUCAAAUCCCUCCUCCUCCGCCA